rnacentral:rRNA from 1 species
AACGAACCGUCCAAACGUUAUUCGGAUUUAAUGGGCUUAAAGGGCAUGUAGGCGGCCCUUCAAGUCGGGUGUGAAAGCCCUCGGCUCAACCGAGGAACUGCGCCCGAUACUGUAGGGCUUGAGGGAGACAGAGGUAAGCGGAACUGAUGGUGGAGCGGUGAAAUGCGUUGAUAUCAUCAGGAACACCAGUGGCGAAAGCGGCUUACUGGGUCUCUUCUGACGCUGAGAUACGAAAGCUAGGGGAGCGAACGGG